rnacentral:rRNA from 1 species
AUUGAACGCUGGCGGCAGGCCUAACACAUGCAAGUCGAGCGGAGCGGCGGACGGGGGAGUAAUGCCUAGGAAUCUGCCUGGUAGUGGGGGAUAACGUCAGGAAACGGACGCUAAUACCGCAUACUCUCAGAUGAGCCUAGGUCGGAUUAGCUAGUGGGUGGGGUAAAGGCCUACCAAGGCGACGAUCCGUACCUGGUCUGAGAGGAUGAUCAGUCCCACUGGAACUGAGACACGGUCCAGACUCCUACGGGAGGCACCAGAGGGGAAUAUUGGACAAUGGGCGCAAGCCUGAGCCAGCCAUGCCGCGUGUGUGAAGAAGGUCUUCGGAUUGUAAAGCACUUUAAGCGGGGAGGCGUUACCAACAGAAGAAGCACCGGCUAACUCCGUGCCAGCCGCCGCGGUAAUAC